GACGAACGCUGGCGGCGUGCUUAACACAUGCAAGUCGAACGAUGAACUUGGAGCUUGCUCUGGGGGAUUAGUGGCGAACGGGUGAGUAACACGUGAGUAACCUGCCCUGGACUCUGGGAUAACUUCGAGAAAUCGGAGCUAAUACCGGAUAGGACCUUGCACCGCAUGGUGUGGGGUGGAAAGUUUUUCGGUUUGGGAUGGACUCGCGGCCUAUCAGCUUGUUGGUGAGGUAAUGGCUCACCAAGGCGUCGACGGGUAGCCGGCCUGCGGGGGGGACCGGCCACACUGGGACUGAGACACGGCCCAGACUCCUACGGGAGGCAGCAGUGGGGAAGAUUGCACAAUGGGCGCAAGCCUGAUGCAGCAACGCCGCGUGCGGGAUGACGGCCUUCGGGUUGUAAACCGCUUUUAGUAGGGAAGAAGCCUUCGGGUGACGGUACCUGCAGAAAAAGGACCGGCUAACUACGUGCCAGCCGCCGCAGUAAGAC
rnacentral:rRNA from 1 species